GUAGGUGGCAAGCGUUGUCCGGAAUUAUUAGGCGUAAAGCGCGCGCAGGCGGUUCUUUAAGUCUGAUGUGAAAGCCCACGGGCUCAACCGUGGAGGGUCAUUGGAAACUGGAGAACUUGAGUACAGAAGAGGAAAGCGGAAUUCCACGUGUAGCGGUGAAAUGCGUAGAGAUGUGGAGGAACACCAGUGGCGAAGGCGGCUUUCUGGUCUGUAACUGACGCUGAGGCGCGAAAGCGUGGGGAGCAAACAGGAUUAGAUACCCUGGUAGUCCACGCCGUAAACGAUGAGUGCUAAGUGUUAGGGGGUUUCCGCCCCUUAGUGCCGCAGCUAACGCAUUAAGCACUCCGCCUGGGGAGUACGGCCGCAAAGGCUG
rnacentral:rRNA from 1 species